rnacentral:rRNA from 1 species
GGCGGACGGGUGAGUAAUGCUUAGGAAUCUGCCUAUUAGUGGGGGACAACRUUCCGAAAGGAAUGCUAAUACCGCAUACGCCCUACGGGGGAAAGCAGGGGAUCUUCGGACCUUGCGCUAAUAGAUGAGCCUAAGUCGGAUUAGCUAGUUGGUGGGGUAAAGGCCUACCAAGGCGACGAUCUGUAGCGGGUCUGAGAGGAUGAUCCGCCACACUGGGACUGAGACACGGCCCAGACUCCUACGGGAGGCAGCAGUGGGGAAUAUUGGACAAUGGGCGGAAGCCUGAUCCAGCCAUGCCGCGUGUGUGAAGAAGGCCUUUUGGUUGUAAAGCACUUUAAGCGAGGAGGAGGCUCCUUUAGUUAAUACCUAAAGUGAGUGGACGUUACUCGCAGAAUAAGCACCGGCUAACUCUGUGCCAGCAGCCGCGGUAAUACAGAGGGUGCGAGCGUUAAUCGGAUUUACUGGGCGUAAAGCGUGCGUAGGCGGCUUUUUAAGUCGGAUGUGAAAUCCCUGAGCUUAACUUAGGAAUUGCAUUCGAUACUGGAAAGCUAGAGUAUGGGAGAGGAUGGUAGAAUUCCAGGUGUAGCGGUGAAAUGCGUAGAGAUCUGGAGGAAUACCGAUGGCGAAGGCAGCCAUCUGGCCUAAUACUGACGCUGAGGUACGAAAGCAUGGGGAGCAAACAGGAUUAGAUACCCUGGUAGUCCAUGCCGUAAACGAUGUCUACUAGCCGUUGGGGCCUUUGAGGCUUUAGUGGCGCAGCUAACGCGAUAAGUAGACCGCC